rnacentral:rRNA from 1 species
CUCGCCGAAUGAGUUUCUGACCUAUCAACUCGAGACGGCGGGGUAGAGGCCCGCCGCGGUAACGACGGGUAACGGGGAAUCAGGGUUCGAUUCCGGAGAGGGAGCCCGAGAAACGGCUACCACUUCCAAGGAAGGCAGCAGGCGCGCAACUUACCCUAAUCUCGAUUCGAGGAGGUAGUGACAAGAAAUACCGAUGCGGGACCCUACGGGUGCCGCGUUCGGAAUGAGUACGAUUCGAACCACCUAACGAGGAACGAUCGGAGGGCAAGUCUGGUGCCAGCAGCCGCGGUAAUUCCAGCUCCAAUAGCGUACGUUAAAGUUGCUGCAGUUAAAAAGCUCGUAGUUGAACGUUCGGGUUCCGCGGGACGGGGCCGCCCCGCGAGGGACGGCGCCGCCCCGGGGCUCGUGAUAUCUCAUCUCGCCGCCCGUCGCCGAGGCGGACGGAGGGAUGGAUGAGGUUACCUGG